ensembl:lincRNA
CUGCGCCGCUGGGCCCAGUGCAGAAGUGCCGAGACGGGGGUAACCAGUUCCUGCCUGAGAAGCUGCUCUCACAUUCACCCACCUCCUGUGCCCCGAGUGGCUCCAUGAUGCUCCAAGAAGCUGGGGACGGAACUCUUUUUAUUAGACAUCAGAGAAUAGCCUUGCAAGUUUAAGGGGCUAACCUUUCUCCAGCUCAGCUCAACCUCAGUGCUCCCCUGCCUAUCCAGUCCUGUUGGCUUUGGAAUAAAUCACUUCCACCUAAAUACAGAGAGAGAGAAUGAUGGAAACAGAAGGAAAGGAAUUCAGCCAAGGCCGCCCAGGCAAUUGGAGGCAGAGACAAGAUUCAAACUCAGGACCUACAUGAUUCACGAAGCACAAUUCCUGCAUGUAUACGAUGUCCUGCAACAACAGACAACUGCCAAUGCAGCAGAAACUCCAGGAAAUUCAGAAGCAGGGGAGCUGCCCAAAGAUAGGUGGAGGGUAUUCAUAGACUCAGCUUUGGGGAGCCACUGAAAGAGGACACCACCGACUCAGUGGACAUGAAAUUUGAGCAAACUCCGAGAGAUACUGGAAGACAAAGGAGCCUGGGAUGCUGCGGUCCAUGGGGUCGCAAAGUGUCGGACACGACCUAGCAACUCAACAACAACAAGGACAUUCUUUGGUUAUCAAAUUUGUUUAUGUCGGAAACCUAGGGUUGUUGCUUCUGGGGAUAAAGGGAAGAAGUGAACUGGCC